rnacentral:rRNA from 1 species
AGCGUAGACGGUUUGGCAAGUCUGAUGUGAAAGCCUGGGGCUCAACCCCGGAACUGCAUUGGAAACUGUUGAACUAGAGUGCAGGAGAGGUAAGUGGAAUUCCUAGUGUAGCGGUGAAAUGCGUAGAUAUUAGGAGGAACACCAGUGGCGAAGGCGGCUUACUGGACUGUAACUGACGUUGAGGCUCGAAAGCGUGGGGAGCAAACA